AACGAACGCUGGCGGCAUGCCUAACACAUGCAAGUCGAACGAGACCUUCGGGCCUAGUGGCGCACGGGUGCGUAACGCGUGGGAACCUGCCCUUAGGUUCGGAAUAACUCCCCGAAAGGGGUGCUAAUACCGGAUAAUGUCUUCGGACCAAAGAUUUAUCGCCUUUGGAUGGGCCCGCGUUGGAUUAGCUAGUUGGUAGGGUAAAAGCCUACCAAGGAGACGUUCCAGAGCUGGUCUGAGAGGAUGAUCAGCCACACUGGGGACGAGGCACGGCCCAGACUCCUACGGAAGGCAGCAGUGGGGAAUAUUAGACAAUGGGCGAAAGCCUGAUCCAGCCAUGCCGCGUGAGUGAUGAAGGCCUUAGUGUUGUAAAGCUCUUUUACCCGGGAUGAUAAUGACGGUACCGGGAGAAUAAGCUCCGGCUAACUCCGUG
rnacentral:rRNA from 1 species